CCAGCAGCCGCGGUAAUUCCUACGGGAGGCAGCAGUGGGGAAUUUUGGACAAUGGGCGCAAGCCUGACCCAGCAAUGCCGCGUGAGUGAAGAAGGCCUUCGGGUUGUAAAGCUCUUUCAGUCGAGAAGAAAAAGCUGCAGUGAAUAACUGUAGUUCAUGACGGUAUCGACAGAAGAAGCACCGGCUAACUACGUGCCAGCAGCCGCGGUAAU
rnacentral:rRNA from 1 species